AUUGAACGCUGGCGGCAGGCCUUACACAUGCAAAUCGGACGAGUGGCGGAAGGGGGAGUAAGGUCUGGGAAACUGCCCGAUGGAGGGGGUUAACUACUGGAAACGGUAGCUAAUACCGCAUACCAUCGGAUGUGCGCGGAUGGGAUUAGCUAGUAGGUGGGGUAAAGGCUCACCUAGGCGACGAUCCCUAGCUGAUCUGAGAGGAUGACCGGCCACACUGGAACUGAGACACGGUCCAGACUCCUACGGGAGGCAGCAGUGGGGAAUAUUGCACAAUGGGCGAAAGCCUGAUGCAGCCAUGCCGCGUGUAUGAAGAAGGCCUUCGGGUUGUAAAAUACUGUCAGCGGAGAGGCGUUACCCAAAGAAGAAGCACCGGCUAACUCCGUGCCAGCAGCCGCGGUAAUUC
rnacentral:rRNA from 1 species